GAUGAACGCUAGCUACAGGCUUAACACAUGCAAGUCGAGGGGAAACGACAUCGCAAGCUUGCUUUUGAUGGGCGUCGACCGGCGCACGGGUGAGUAACGCGUAUCCAACCUGCCCAUCACUUGGGAAUAACCUUGCGAAAGUAAGACUAAUACCCAAUGAUAUCCCACGAAGGCAUCGGAAUGGGAUUAAAGAUUUAUCGGUGAUGGAUGGGGAUGCGUCUGAUUAGCUUGUUGGCGGGGUAACGGCCCACCAAGGCAACGAUCAGUAGGGGUUCUGAGAGGAAGGUCCCCAACAUUGGAACUGAGACACGGUCCAAACUCCUACGGGAGGCAGCAGUGAGGAAUAUUGGUCAAUGGGCGAGAGCCUGAACCAGCCAAGUAGCGUGCAGGAAGACGGCCCUAUGGGUUGUAAACUGCUUUUAUAAGGGAAUAAAGUGGGUCACGUGUGACUUUUUGCAUGUACCUUAUGAAUAAGGACCGGCUAAUUCCGUG
rnacentral:rRNA from 1 species